rnacentral:lncRNA from 1 species
GACAAAAGGUGUCUUAUUUUGCUAGGAUUCAAGGCCUUGACUCAAGUAAAUUAUGCCGAAUUGUAUUUGAAGAGCUCAAGUCCUUAAAGCUUCAAAGGGGAUGGGACUAUCCACAAUAUAUGAUCAAUUUAUUCAAUAUGGUUGGUCUGGAUCACUUUUAUAACUCGAAUGUCAACUCUAAUAUAUUUAAACAGUUUCUUGGAAGGUUUGUCCGGAGAAGGCAAUAUCAAGAAAUAAAUGAUAAAAGCAGUCUAGAUAUUUUCUCAAAAUUUAACUUUGCACAAGGAAGGCAACCAUAUCUGACGAACUUGCUGGACUUCAAGUCUGCAAGACUCAAAAUGUUAAUACGAACAAAUUGUUUACCUGUAAACAAAGUCUUGUAUAGGAUGAAUCUUAGCGAGAGUCCCACUUGCCAAAUGUGUUUAUUUAAUUCUGAAGAGUCCAUUGAACAUUUCCUAUUAGAGUGUUCUGGCUUCUCCUCAAUCCGUAAUAAAUACAUAUCUGAUAUAAAUGAAUAUCUAAGUUUUACUUUCCCGGGCCUCUGCUUCACAGAGUUAUCGUCCUACGAUAAAAUACAAAUACUGGUUGGUGAUUGCUUUUAUCAGGUUGAUCCCUACAUUAGUAAAACAUUGGACAGUUUAAGUAAAAAGAUGUUCAGUGAAAUGUACUCUAAGAGACAAUUGGUUUUGGAACCUAAACUUUAAAUGUUAUUUUUUUACGUUACUUUUAG